AUAGACUCUUGUUAUUGUUAUUAUUAUUAUUGAUAUGCUUAUUUCUCUUGCUGCAUGUCUCCAAUUUAUCCCCUUUAGAAACUCGAGGAAAUAAGAUCUGAAAAUACUAUUUGGCCAUCAAAUUCUAGGCUAGGAAGAUGCUCGGACUCGAAACCGAUGGUGUUAUACAUGAUCCACGCCCGUUCAACUCGCAGGAAGGCUCGAUGUUGGUUCCUCUGAUAUGUAGUAGUAACCUAGGGAGUAUUUUCUUAGAUUGUUCUUGGCUCUGUACUUCUUUCUAUCAAUCAACCCCCAUCUCACUAAGGCCAGUUUCUUACCAUGACGGCCAUUUGUAUACUCCGGAUAUUCAAGGGACAUAGGCAUCCCUUACUAUACCAUUCCUUGCCAUAAGUGCAUUAUUUUUUCCUUGAA